UACGUAGGGGGCUAGCGUUGUCCGGAUUUAUUGGGCGUAAAGAGCGUGUAGGCGGCCAUGUAGGUCCGGUGUGAAAACUCGAGGCUUAACCUCGAGAUGUCAUCGGAAACCAUUUGGCUAGAGUCCGGAAGAGGAGAGUGGAAUUCCUGGUGUAGCGGUGAAAUGCGCAGAUAUACAGGAGGAACACCGGUGGCGAAGGCGGGUCUCUGGGCCGAUACUGACGCUGAGGAGCGAAAGCGUGGGGAGCGAACAGG
rnacentral:rRNA from 1 species